GGAGGGUAUAGCUCAGUGGUAGAGUGCAUGCCUAGCAUGCAUGAGGUCCUGGGUUCAAUCCCCAGUACUUCCA
rnacentral:tRNA from 1 species